rnacentral:rRNA from 1 species
GCAAGUCGAACGAUGAUGCCCAGCUUGCUGGGCGGAUUAAUGGCGAACGGGUGAGUAAUACGUGAGUAACCUGCCCUUGACUCUGGGAUAAGCCUGGGAAACUGGGUCUAAUACUGGAUACUACCUCUUGCCGCAUGGUGGGUGGUGGAAAGGGUUUUACUGGUUUUGGAUGGGCUCACGGCCUAUCAGCUUGUUGGUGGGGUAAUGGCUCACCAAGGCGACGACGGGUAGCCGGCCUGAGAGGGUGACCGGCCACACUGGGACUGAGACACGGCCCAGACUCCUACGGGAGGCAGCAGUGGGGAAUAUUGCACAAUGGGCGGAAGCCUGAUGCAGCGACGCCGCGUGAGGGAUGACGGCCUUCGGGUUGUAAACCUCUUUCAGUAGGGAAGAAGCGAGAGUGACGGUACCUGCAGAAGAAGCGCCGGCUAACUACGUGCCAGCAGCCGCGGUAAUACGUAGGGCGCAAGCGUUGUCCGGAAUUAUUGGGCGUAAAGAGCUCGUAGGCGGUUUGUCGCGUCUGCUGUGAAAGCCCGGGGCUCAACCCCGGGUCUGCAGUGGGUACGGGCAGACUAGAGUGCAGUAGGGGAGACUGGAAUUCCUGGUGUAGCGGUGAAAUGCGCAGAUAUCAGGAGGAACACCGAUGGCGAAGGCAGGUCUCUGGGCUGUUACUGACGCUGAGGAGCGAAAGCAUGGGGAGCGAACAGGAUUAGAUACCCUGGUAGUCCAUGCCGUAAACGUUGGGCACUAGGUGUGGGGGACAUUCCACGUUUUCCGCGCCGUAGCUAACGCAUUAAGUGCCCCGCCUGGGGAGUACGGCCGCAAGGCUAAAACUCAAAGGAAUUGACGGGGGCCCGCACAAGCGGCGGAGCAUGCGGAUUAAUUCGAUGCAACGCGAAGAACCUUACCAAGGCUUGACAUUCACCGGACCGCCCCAGAGAUGGGGUUUCCCUUCGGGGCUGGUGGACAGGUGGUGCAUGGUUGUCGUCAGCUCGUGUCGUGAGAUGUUGGGUUAAGUCCCGCAACGAGCGCAACCCUCGUUCUAUGUUGCCAGCACGUGAUGGUGGGGACUCAUAGGAGACUGCCGGGGUCAACUCGGAGGAAGGUGGGGAUGACGUCAAAUCAUCAUGCCCCUUAUGUCUUGGGCUUCACGCAUGCUACAAUGGCCGGUACAAAGGGUUGCGAUACUGUGAGGUGGAGCUAAUCCCAAAAAGCCGGUCUCAGUUCGGAUUGAGGUCUGCAACUCGACCUCAUGAAGUCGGAGUCGCUAGUAAUCGCAGAUCAGCAACGCUGCGGUGAAUACGUUCCCGGGCCUUGUACACACCGCCCGUCAAGUCACGAAAGUUGGUAACACCCGAAGCCGGUGGCCUAACCCCUUGUGGGAGGGAGC